GUCUAUGCCCAUGCUACGCUGAACAAGCCUGAUCCUGUCUAAUCUUGGAAUCUAAGCAGGGUCGGGCCUGGUUAGUACUUGGAUGGGAGACCACAUGGGAAGACCAGGUGCUGUAGGUG
rfam:Pteropus alecto contig53413, whole genome shotgun sequence.